rnacentral:lncRNA from 1 species
GUCCUUGUAUAACCAUUCAGUAUGUGACCAACAUUAUCAUUCAUGGACUCAACAUCCAUGACUGCAAGCAAGGAGGGAAUGCUAUGGUGAGGGACUCCCCACGGCAUUACGGUUGGCGAACCAUAUCGGAUGGGGAUGGUGUGUCUAUCUUCGGUGGUAGCCAUGUUUGGGUGGAUCAUAACUCCUUGUCCAACUGCAAUGAUGGUCUGGUUGAUGCCAUUCAUGGGUCCACCGCAAUCACCAUCUCAAACAACUACAUGACUCACCAUGAUAAAGUCAUGCUUUUGGGGCACAGUGAUUCCUAUACUCAAGACAAGAACAUGCAAGUCACUAUAGCCUUUAAUCACUUUGGUGA